rnacentral:rRNA from 1 species
AUUGAACGCUGGCGGCAGGCUUAACACAUGCAAGUCGAGCGAGCGGCGGACGGGGGAGUAAUGUAUGGGGACUGCCCGAUAGAGGGGGAUAACUACUGGAAACGGUAGCUAAUACCGCAUACUAUCGGAUAACCCAUAUGGGAUUAGCUAGUAGGUGAGGUAAUGGCUCACCUAGGCGACGAUCCCUAGCGGGUCUGAGAGGAUGAACAGCCAGCCGGGGUAGGAGACAGUGCCCCGACUCCUACGGAGGCAGCAGUGGGUAAUAUUGCGCAAGGGGCGCAAGCCUGAUGCAGCCAUGCCGCGUGUAUGAAGAAGGCCCUAGGGUUGUAAAGUACUUUCAGUCGGGAGGCGUUACCGACAGAAGAAGCACCGGCUAACUCCGUGCCAGCAGCCGCGGUAAUUC